rnacentral:rRNA from 1 species
CAAUAGCGUAUAUUAAAGCUGUUGCGGUUAAAAAGCUCGUAGUUGGAUUUCUGUCAAGGACAACUGGUCCGCCCCUCGGGUGAGCACAUAGUUUGGUCUUGGCAUCUUGUUGGAAACUGUUGCUGCACUUGGUUGUGUGGCGCAGUGUCCAGCACUUUCACUUUGAGGAAAUUGGAGUGUUUCAAGCAGGCACAUGCCUUUGGACACAGUAGCAUGGAAUAAUUAGAUUGGGCUUUUGCUCCAACUUGUCGGUUUCUGGAGCUGAGGUGAGAAUUAAUGGGGAUUGUUGGGGGCAUCCGAAUUUAGCCGUUAGAGGUGAAAUUCUUGGAUCUGCUAAAGACGGACAACUGCGAAAGCGUUUGCCCAGGAUGUUUUCAUUGA